rnacentral:rRNA from 1 species
AGCGGCGGACGGGUGAGUAAUGCCUAGGAAUCUGCCCUUUUGUGGAGGAUAACCCGGGGAAACUCGGGCUAAUACUGCAUAAUCUCUACGGAGCAAAGCGGGGCUCUUCUACCCUCGCGCAGAAGGAUGAGCCUAGGUCUGAUUAGCUUGUUGGUGGGGUAACGGCCUACCAAGGCGACGAUCAGUAGCUGGUCUGAGAGGAUGAUCAGCCACACCGGGACUGAGACACGGCCCGGACUCCUACGGGAGGCAGCAGUGGGGAAUAUUGGACAAUGGGCGAAAGCCUGAUCCAGCCAUGCCGCGUGUGUGAAGAAGGCCUUAGGGUUGUAAAGCACUUUAAGCAGGAAAGAAAAGCGCCGGAUUAAUACUCCGAGCGUGUUGACGGUACCUGCAGAAUAAGCACCGGCUAACUCCGUGCCAGCAGCCGCGGUAAUACGGAGGGUGCAAGCGUUAAUCGGAAUUACUGGGCGUAAAGCGUGCGUAGGCGGUUGCGUGUGUCGGAUGUGAAAGCCCCGGGCUCAACCUGGGAAUUGCAUUCGAAACUGCGCAACUAGAAUGUGGUAGAGGAAGAUGGAAUUCCACGUGUAGCGGUGAAUGCGUAGAUAUGUGGAGGACACAUGGCGACGCAUCUUCUGACACCAUGACGCUGAAGUACGAAAGCGUGGGUAGCCAACCAGAUAGAUACCCUGGUAGACAAUGC